AAAUCAAUGUAAUUAAACGGCUUGGAAGCAAAAAGGUCAUAGAUAAUAUUAGUGUGAUCGCCUAAAACUAGUGGAUUAAAACCAAAGUUAUUGUCUUGGUUAGUAGAGUAAAACUCCAACUCUAACACGUUUUUAAAAAUUUGCUUAGCAACAUUAAUCGAGUGGUAGUCACCAUAAAUUGACACCUUUUUAACGCUUUCUGGUAAUUCCAAAUCCUUUAAGGUAGAACCAUCACCAGUUAAACCAUUAAUGAUGACGUAAUCAGGAUUACGUUGUUUUAAAUUGAGGUUAAUGCCGUCAGUA
rnacentral:sRNA from 1 species